AACGAACGCUGGCGGCAUGCCUAACACAUGCAAGUCGAACGAUCCCUUCGGGGAUAGUGGCGCACGGGUGCGUAACGCGUGGGAACCUGCCCUUAGGUUCGGAAUAACUCAGAGAAAUUUGAGCUAAUACCGGAUAAUGUCUUCGGACCAAAGAUUUCUCGCCUUUGGGUGGGCCCGCGUUGGAUUAGCUAGUUGGUGGGGUAAAGGCCUACCAAGGCGACGAUCCAUAGCUGGUCUGAGAGGAUGACCAGCCACCCUGGGACUGAGACACGGCCCAGACUCCUACGAGAGGCAGCAGUGGGGAAUAGUGGACCAUGGGCGAAAGCCUGAUCCAUCAAUGCCGCGUGAGUGAUGAAGGCCUUAGGGUUGUAAAGCUCUUUUACCCGGGAUGAUAAUGACAGUACCGGGAGAAUAAGCCCCGGCUAACUCCGUG
rnacentral:rRNA from 1 species